rnacentral:rRNA from 1 species
AGAGUUUGAUCCUGGCUCAGGACGAACGCUGGCGGCGUGCCUAAUACAUGCAAGUCGAACGAACUCUGGUAUUGAUUGGUGCUUGCAUCAUGAUUUACAUUUGAGUGAGUGGCGAACUGGUGAGUAACACGUGGGAAACCUGCCCAGAAGCGGGGGAUAACACCUGGAAACAGAUGCUAAUACCGCAUAACAACUUGGACCGCAUGGUCCGAGCUUGAAAGAUGGCUUCGGCUAUCACUUUUGGAUGGUCCCGCGGCGUAUUAGCUAGAUGGUGGGGUAACGGCUCACCAUGGCAAUGAUACGUAGCCGACCUGAGAGGGUAAUCGGCCACAUUGGGACUGAGACACGGCCCAAACUCCUACGGGAGGCAGCAGUAGGGAAUCUUCCACAAUGGACGAAAGUCUGAUGGAGCAACGCCGCGUGAGUGAAGAAGGGUUUCGGCUCGUAAAACUCUGUUGUUAAAGAAGAACAUAUCUGAGAGUAACUGUUCAGGUAUUGACGGUAUUUAACCAGAAAGCCACGGCUAACUACGUGCCAGCAGCCGCGGUAAUACGUAGGUGGCAAGCGUUGUCCGGAUUUAUUGGGCGUAAAGCGAGCGCAGGCGGUUUUUUAAGUCUGAUGUGAAAGCCUUCGGCUCAACCGAAGAAGUGCAUCGGAAACUGGGGAACUUGAGUGCAGAAGAGGACAGUGGAACUCCAUGUGUAGCGGUGAAAUGCGUAGAUAUAUGGAAGAACACCAGUGGCGAAGGCGGCUGUCUGGUCUGUAACUGACGCUGAGGCUCGAAAGUAUGGGUAGCAAACAGGAUUAGAUACCCUGGUAGUCCAUACCGUAAACGAUGAAUGCUAAGUGUUGGAGGGUUUCCGCCCUUCAGUGCUGCAGCUAACGCAUUAAGCAUUCCGCCUGGGGAGUACGGCCGCAAGGCUGAAACUCAAAGGAAUUGACGGGGGCCCGCACAAGCGGUGGAGCAUGUGGUUUAAUUCGAAGCUACGCGAAGAACCUUACCAGGUCUUGACAUACUAUGCAAAUCUAAGAGAUUAGACGUUCCCUUCGGGGACAUGGAUACAGGUGGUGCAUGGUUGUCGUCAGCUCGUGUCGUGAGAUGUUGGGUUAAGUCCCGCAACGAGCGCAACCCUUAUUAUCAGUUGCCAGCAUUAAGUUGGGCACUCUGGUGAGACUGCCGGUGACAAACCGGAGGAAGGUGGGGAUGACGUCAAAUCAUCAUGCCCCUUAUGACCUGGGCUACACACGUGCUACAAUGGAUGGUACAACGAGUUGCGAACUCGCGAGAGUAAGCUAAUCUCUUAAAGCCGUUCUCAGUUCGGAUUGUAGGCUGCAACUCGCCUACAUGAAGUCGGAAUCGCUAGUAAUCGCGGAUCAGCAUGCCGCGGUGAAUACGUUCCCGGGCCUUGUACACACCGCCCGUCACACCAUGAGAGUUUGUAACACCCAAAGUCGGUGGGGUAACCUUUUAGGAACCAGCCGCCUAAGGUGGGACAGAUGAUUAGGGUGAAGUCGUAACAAGGUAGCCGUAGGAGAACCUGCGGCUG